AGAGAAAAAUGGCAGCAUUGCAAAGUGCAAGAACACUGAAGGGAUUAAACAGCAUUCUAGAAAACAAGACAGACCAUGAAGAGUAUGGGAAGAAACAGGAAGGCCUAUUUCCCGGUACCAUACCCAGAAGCUGUAUAAUAGGUGAUAUACAUUUGAGACCCAGGAGACUCAGCAUAUGGUGAAGGUUCACAGAGACACGUGCAGAUGGAGAAUACCACUGCUAAACUGGCAACACUUGGUUAAACACCAGAAUGGAUUACAUACAAUCAAUGCGAGGAACCUGGAAAUCAAGGCUGGAAAGAAGCCUUAAGUAAGGCAAUUUGUCUAGAGAUGAAACAUGAGAAGAAGGCCAGAGUAAGGAGGGGUGUCAAAACCUAGCAGAGGAGUUAAUAGGCAAUAUUGUUAUCAGAAAGGAAAGUAUUACAGGGAAUUAUGAUCCAGUCAAUUAGUAGGGUCAGUACAAAGCAGCAGCAAGAAAUGUUUGUUUAGGAGAAAUAAGCCACUUGCGUAGAAGAGGUAUCGGUUGCUAAGGAAGAUCAUGAUAUGACAAAUAAGAAAGUAAGAUUGAAGACAAAGAUCGAAGAACAAGGAACAGAAGCUAGCAAUGGUUUAGAGAAGUCUUUAGACAAAAGCCUGUGGAAAGAAACGGGUGUGAGGGUGAAAGGUGCUCCUUUCAUGCAAUAAAAUGUUGCAGAGAAAACUAGUUAAAUUAUUUUACAUUUCUUUCAUUUUUUCCCAUAUAGAUUUCAGAGCUUAAAGAAUUCUUAAAGACUUAUUAUGAUUUGAUCUAACGAUGAACCAAAUUAUAAAAAAUUAAGCAAGUUUAAGUUGUUUAGGAAAAAAUUAUAAAACAAAUUCUUCAGUUGUAUUGAGGGCUUAUAGUAUCUCAUAUGCUGACUUUUAAAAAUGAAACUAACAUUUUUUUCAUCAUGAGAAGGGAAAAGGUUUUUAAAGUUUUUGUUAUGAAGCAUGUAUAAUACACACAAAAGUGAAGAGCGUAAAGAAAAACUACCAUUUCUUAGCUUGAAUAAUCAUCAACUUCCUACAUAUUUUUAUUCUACUUAUUGCCCC
rnacentral:lncRNA from 10 species